AUUGAACGCUGGCGGCAUGCUUUACACAUGCAAGUCGAACGGUAACAGGCCUUCGUGUGCUGACGAGUGGCGCACGGGUGAGUAAUGCAUCGGAACGUACCCAGAGGUGGGGGAUAACGCAGCGAAAGCUGUGCUAAUACUGCAUGUGAUCUGAGGAUGAAAGCGGGGGACCGAGCAGCAAUGUUUGGCCUCGCGCCUUUGGAGCGGCCGAUGUCGGAUUGUCUAGUUGGUGGGGUAAAGGCCUACCAAGGCGACGAUCCGUAGCUGGUCUGAGAGGACGAUCAGCCACACUGGGACUGAGACACGGCCCAGACUCCUACGGGAGGCAGCAGUGGGGAAUUUUGGACAAAGGGCGCAAGCCUGAUCCAGCAAUGCCGCGUGCGGGAAGAAGGCCUUCGGGUUGUAAACCGCUUUUGGCAGGAACGAAACGGUGUCCGCUAAUACCGGGCGCUAAUGACGGUACCUGCAGAAUAAGCACCGGCUAACUACGUG
rnacentral:rRNA from 1 species